UGGCUCAGGAUGAACGCUAGCGACAGGCUUAACACAUGCAAGUCGAGGGGCAGCGAGGGAGUGCUUGCACUUCUGUCGGCGACCGGCGCACGGGUGAGUAACACGUAUGCAACCUGCCCUUGUCAGGGGGAUAACCGUUGGAAACGACGACUAAUACCCCAUGGUGAUGUUAGGAGGCAUCUCCUUUCAUCUAAAGAAUUUCGGAAACGGAUAGGCUCGCGUGACAUUAGCUAGAUGGCGGGGUAACGGCCCACCAUGGCGACGAUGUCUAGGGGUUCUGAGAGGAAGGUCCCCCACACUGGAACUGAGACACGGUCCAGACUCCUACGGGAGGCAGCAGUGAGGAAUAUUGGUCAAUGGUCGGAAGACUGAACCAGCCAUGCCGCGUGAAGGUCACGGCCCUAUGGGUCUUAAACUUCUUUUGUAAGGGAGCAAUAAGGUUCACGUGUGGACUGAUGAGAGUACCUUACGAAUAAGCAUCGGCUAACUCCGUG
rnacentral:rRNA from 1 species